rnacentral:rRNA from 1 species
GACGAACGCUGGCGGCGUGCUUAACACAUGCAAGUCGAACGGUGACGAGGAGCUUGCUCCUCCGAUCAGUGGCGAACGGGUGAGUAACACGUGAGUAACCUGCCCCAGACUCUGGGAUAACAGUUGGAAACAGCUGCUAAUACCGGAUACGAGACGGAGAGGCAUCUCUACCGUCUGGAAAGUUUUUCGGUCUGGGAUGGACUCGCGGCCUAUCAGCUUGUUGGUGAGGUAAUGGCUCACCAAGGCGACGACGGGUAGCCGGCCUGAGAGGGCGACCGGCCACACUGGGACUGAGACACGGCCCAGACUCCUACGGGAGGCAGCAGUGGGGAAUAUUGCACAAUGGGCGAAAGCCUGAUGCAGCGACGCCGCGUGAGGGAUGAC